UUUAAAGCAACAUUAUUUACAACAUUCUCACUUUUGUACUCUUUCUCAACAUCAAUAUUAAGAAAUAAGGUGUAGUUGAAUGGUUGAAGUUCCUCUUUUUUCUCCAUUAGUUGGUCAUAAUCCACAACAAUUGGUAAUUGGGCUUCAGAGGCCUCAAUCUUUUGUUUAAGUAAGCCUCUAAGUCAUGAAUAUCUGAGCUAAAUUUAUCAAUUUUUUGUGUGAGCUCAACUCUUUCUUCGAUCAGAUGGAUUGACAGGUCCAACUAUCGGAAGGAGUAAUGUCAUUUGUUCAUAUAUCUCAAUAUGAGUUUUUAAGGCAAAAACACAGGUAACUAGGAUUGACAUCCAAUGCACCAUUGAUCCAAUGAGCAGUUCAGAGGCAGUUAGUGAGCCUACUUGCUUUCUAGAGGAUCCAUAUUCAUUUUUCAGUAUUAGUUUUGGUUCAUUAGGAUGUUUUGAGGUUUUCCCAACAUCUAUCUUAGUUGUUUUUAGAGGAUUCAUAGACAGUUAGUUCUUAAGUCUUUUCUUUGUCAUUAUUCCAUGUUGAGCCUUGAGUUUGCCUUAAUAGCCAGUUGAAUGUUCUUUGAUAACGUUCCAAUUUAUUAUAUGAACUUAUCUUGUUGAGUUUAAGUUUUCUGUUGAGUAAGUAAGUCAGGACAAGGGUUCACUUGGGGCCAACAAUGUUUCUCGAGUGCUAGCCACACCCAGGGUAUAGGUUCGGGCAUGACAAACAUGGUAUCAGAGCGGAGAGUUGAAGAGUCCUAGGGAGUCUAUGAAGUCGUGUUUAUAGAGUCCUAGUUAUCAUUGUGGAGCGCGCCACAUCUAUAAUUAGGAGGCUGCAAUAUUUAGGAACUCCUUCACUUUUUCAUACUCAUUCAUGCGUUAGAGUUUAGUCUUUACAAAGUUUUCUUCUAACUCAUGUUUGUGUGUGUUCCUAGAUAAUCAUGCCUCGACAAAGAGUUGUUUGAGGUCUUCUUGCUAGGAUAGAUGUUGAGGAACAAGGGGUAACUAAUGCAGUUGAAGUGCGGCCCCAAGGAGAGGUCACCAAUGUUAAAUUCAGUGAAGCUAUCUGGAUGUUAAAUCAAGUUGUGACUCAUCAAGUUGGAUAGAGACAUAAUCGACAGGAAGUGGCUGAUACUUUAAGGAUCCAUGAGUUUGUAAGGAUGAAUCAACCAAGCUUCAUAGGUUCAAGUGUCAUAGAGGAUCUAGAGAACUUUGUUGAAGUACUUUAGAAAUUUUUUGAGAUAUUGCAUUUUUUUGAUGUUGGAGGGUGGGACUAGCUGCAUACCAAAUAAAGGGUGUCACUAGAAUCUGCUUCGACCAAUGGAAAAAGAAUAGGGUUAAAGAUGCAUUAAUAUUAAGUUGGAAUGUGUUUGAGAGUGAUUUCACGGGGCGUUUCCUUCCCCAUGAGUCGCGAGAGGAAAGGAUAAGAGAAAAUACCACCCUUAAGCUAGAGUCUAUUAUUUUAAUAAGUACAGUCUGAAGUUCACACUACUUUCUCGCUAUAUUUUGGAGGUGGUUGCUGAUACGAGGAGUAGAAUGAAUUUUUUUAUUGCUGGGUUGUCUCAUCAGUCAAGCAAGGAAGGCAAGAAAUCUAUGAUGAUAGGGGAUAUGGACAUGGCAAGACUAAUGAUCCGUGUGCAAUAAGUUGAGGAGGAUAAGAUGAAGAAUAAAAAGAUUUUCAGAAUGAGAGAGCUGAGACAUUAAGAAAUGAGUUCAGCAAACAAAAUAGAAAUGGCAACUUCUCUUCUUUCCAACCAAAAUCAAAGGGACCUUCUCCAUCAUAUGCGAGAGCACCUACACCUAGUAAUAAAAGUGAGUAUAAUAGUCAAAAGUUCAUAGCUAAGUCUGCCUAUUCUGAGGGUAGUAUGACGGAAAGGGGUCGUAAGCCUCCUGCCUGCACUAAGUGUGGUAGGAACCACCUAGGUACUUGUUGUAAGGGCUCUACCGGUUGUUUCAAGUGUUCCCACAAUGGGCAGUUCAUGUGAGAGUGCCCAAAGAACAUGCAGGUUAAAUUUAUGGGGGCAAUAAAGACAAAUCUUCUUUAGUUACUCCACCAGUCAGAGUUACACCUAGAGGAUCUACUUCAGAUACUAGCGGUGGGACAACCCACUUUUAUGAUAUCAAUAGUCGCCAAGGGAAAGAGGAUUCUCUAGAUGUUGACACUUGUAUGAUCCAAGUAUUUACUUUUGAUGUUUACUCUUUGCUAGACCCAGGAGCAUGUUUAUCUUUUGUAACCCCUUAUGUCGCAAAUAAGUGAUGUUCUUAUUGAGAAACUGUCUGAGCCCUUCAAUGUUUCUAGGCCUAGUAGGGAGUUCAUUCUAGCAGAAAGAGUCUAUCAUGAUUGUCCCAUUUUCAUCAAUCACAAAGAGACCAUAACUAAUUUAAUUGAUUUAUACAUAUUAGAUUUUGACAUUAUUCUAGGUAUGAAUUGGCUUCAUACAUGCUAUGCGUCAAUAGAUUGUAGAACUUGAGUUGUGUAGCCCCAAAUUCCAUAUGAGCUAGUCUUAGAGUGGAAAAUUAGUUCAACAGUGCCUAAGGGUCCUUUUAUUUCGUACCUUUAAGGCAAGGAAUUUAUUUUCUAAGGGGUGUGUCUAUCACUUAGUCCGAGUUAAUGACUCAAGUGUUGAGGUACCUCUUGUUCCGUCAGUUUCAGUAGUAAAAGAGUUUGUAGAACUCUUCCUUGAUGAUCUUCCCAAAGUCCAUCCUGAGAAAGAAAUAUACUUUGGUAUAUACAUUCUUCCGUGUACUCUUCCUAUCUCUAUUUCGCUAUCUAGGAUGGCACUAUCAAAGUUGAAAGAUCUUAAAGAACAGUUGAAAGAUCUCCUAGAUAAAGGUUUCAUUCAACCAAGUGUCUCACCUUGGAGCGAACGUGUCUUGUUUGCAAGAAAUAAAGAUGGUUCCCUUAGGAUGUGUAUAGAUUACCAUCAAGAACAAGUAUCCUCUUCCGAGAAUUGAUUAUUUUUUCAAUCAUCUUCAGGGUGCCACCCGUUUUUUAAAUAUAGACCUCAAAUCUGGCUAGCAUCAGUUAAGAGCAAGGGAAUGUGAUAUUCCAGAGACAGUUUUCAGAACUCAAUAUGGUCAUUAUGAGUUUUUGGCCAUGUCCUUUGGUUUGACCAAUGCGCCUAGAACAUUCAUGGAGCUUAUGAAUAAAUUAUACAAGCCUACUUAGAUAUGUUUGUUAUCAUCUUCAUUAAUGGCAUUCUAUUCUAUUCGAGAAACAAAGAAGAUCAUGCUAGCCAUCUCUAAAUAACUCUUUAGACUUUUACAAAUAAAGAAUUAUAUGAUAAUUUCUCUAAAUGUGAGUUUUCGAUUAAGUAUGUGGUGUUCUUGAGCCACAAUGUCCGGUGAUGGAAUUAGAGUUGUUACCUUAAAGAUAGAAAAAGCGCAAAGUUGUCCUAGAACCACCUUUCCGAAUGAUAUUAGGAGUUUCUUGGGCUUGUCUGACUACUAUAGAAGGUUGGUAGAGGGGUUCUCAUUUUAUUUUAUCCCAUUUGACCAGUUGAAUCAGAAGACAAUUAAGUUUUCAUGGUCUGAAGCUUGUGAGAAAAGCUUUCAGGAAUUGAAAAAGAGGUUGACUACUACCCAAUUUUGACCUUAGAGAAAAAUACUCAAUUGUGAUGAAUUGUGAUGCAUCUAGAGUUGGAUUGGGUUGUGUAUUAAUUCAGAAUGACAAAGUUAUAACUUAUGCCUCCAGAUAGUUAAAAGUUAAUGAGAAGAACUACCCAACCCAUGACUUAGAGUUGGCUGCCGUAGUUUUUGUUUUGGAAAUAUGACACCAUUACCCUUAUAGUGUAUAUGUGGAUGUGUUUACUGAUCACAAGAAUCUUCAGUAUGUGUUCAUUCAUAAAAUGAGCUUAACCUCAGAUAAAAGAGGCGUUUAGAAUUACUACAGGAUUAUGAUAUGAGUAUUCCUUAUCACCCGGUAAAGCUAAUAUUGUUGUUGAUUCCCCAAGCAAGUUGUCUAUGGGUAGUUCCUCCCAUAUUGAGGAAGAUAAGAAAGAGAAAAAAGGUGCAUAGACUUGCACAAUUAGGAUUUUGAUGAAUCAAUUCCAUAGAAGGUGGAGUAGUGGUGAUGAAUGACUGAAUCCUCGUUAGUGUAAGAGUAAAAUAGAAGCAAGACCAAAAUCCUUUAUUGCUUGAAUUAAAGUCAAAUGUUCAUAAGCAAAAAAUAUUAGCUUUUGAACAAGGGGGAUAUAGUGUAUUAAGGUAUCAAGGUAGAUUGUGUGUACCAAUAGUGGAUGGACUCCCAAAUAGGAUCAUGGUGGAAGUUCAUAGCCCCAGAUAUUCCAUUCAUCCGGGUUCCCUUAAGAUGUACCAUGACUUGAGAGAAGUCUAUUAGUGGAGUAGAAAAAAUUGCAUUGGAUGUUGGGUGGUUGAAAUGAAUGGUUGCAUAUUCAACCUUGGCCUAGUAAGAGUAAUCUCGUUCGAUAAGGAAUGUUUCCAAGAGGGAGAUACUGUAACAUCUCACAAUUUGAAAUAGCUAAGAAGAACUUAAGGAGUAGAAAUAGUUAUUUUUGGAAAUAAUAAAAAUCAGGGAAUUUGUCAAGUUUGGAAAAAGUGAGUUUUUGGUAAACUUGAAAUAGUCAUACCUCCUCGAUCAUGAUGAUUUAGGUUUAUUUCCAUAUAUGGUUGGUAAACUCUUGGAAUGAUCUUUCCAACGCCACUGAGUUUGCUAGAUUCCUAGUUCGUAUGAGCAAGUUAUGUGUUUUGGAAGUUAGGUUGUUCGAAUAAGGAAAGUCCAAUCUGGAUUUUAGGAGGAUAGUUUGGUCUUUUCUUUACCCUUUUAUUUUAAUUCAUUUUUGGCAAUUAAUUAGGGGUCUAAGAUGAACUUAGUCAGUUUAUUUUGGAGAAAGAGUUGGGGUUUUUAUAGAAGAGAAAAGAAGAUGGGAAAAGAGGAGAACGACGAAGAACGUUCAAAAUUCAUCAAUAUCGUCGAGAUUAGCUUGUGGAUUUUGUUAGGAGUGAGACAACAAAGGUAUGUGAGAUCACAUAGCAUUGGGUUAAUUUUCCACGUGCCAAUCAUGAUUCAUUUCAGCGAAUUUAAGUUCUUGAAAGCAUAGAAGUUGAAUUCUUGAUGAGUUUUGUUGAAGUUCUAUUAAAUUCUUGUUUCAUGGAAUUCAUUAGGCAGUUGUUGAUCCUAGUCCUUGAUAUUAGGUUCAAUUUUGAGUACAAUAUAAUGCAUGUUGAACAUUUAGUGGAUUCUGAGUGUUUGGUGAAAGAACCCAUGGGGUUUAGAGUUAAAAACAAAUAAAGAAGAUUUUGUCAAACGGAAUGUCGCACAACCUCCGCGUCGCGGAGCUAGUUCUCAGUUUUAGGAAUUUAAGUUUCGCAUCACGGAGGGUUCUGCGGGUUUCAAAGGUAAUUUUGAAUACUAAUUUCCAUCCUUCGAGUGACGGUUAUGUAGAGAAUGCGACUUACACUUUAAAGGAUUUGUUUACAAAAACAACUAUUAUUAUAGAAUUCAGAUGUCUCCUUAUAAAACUCUUUAUGUGCAAUGAUGUAGAUUUUCUUAUUCAAAGGAUUGAGUUUAUGAAGCUAUUGGUUUAUAGGACCUUACUUGGUUCAUCAAGCUGUGGAGAAAAUGAAGAUCAUUGAAGAGAGGUUGAAAAUAGCGUGGAGUCGUCAGAAAUCCAUUAUGGAUGUUAGGAGAUGAGACUUGGAGUUUGGGGUGGAUGAUUGGGUUUACUUGAAGGUGUCACCCAUGAAGGGUGUUAUGAUAUUUGUUUAGAAAGGGAAGCUUAGUCCCCGAUAUGUUGGUUCUUGUAGGAUAUCCAAGAGUCGACAAUGUAUCUUAUGAGUUGGAGCUACCGCCAGAGUUAAAAGCAGUCCAUCUAGUGUUUCAAAUUACUAUGUUGAAGAUGUGUAUGGGAAAUCCUUCGCUUAUUAUACCUACUGAGAAUAUUGGUAUUAAAGACAAUCUAUUUUAUGAGAAGAUGUCCGUUUAGAUCCUUGAUCGUUAGGUUCGCAAGUUGAACCAAGGAAGUAGCAUCAAUACAGUUCUUAUGAAGGAAUCUGUUCGUUAAGAAAGCUACCUAAGAGGCUGAGAAGGAGAUGACGAAGAGAUAUCGACAUAUCUUUGAUCAAGGAGAAAUUCCAAAUGAAGGUAAUAGCUCUUUUUUUCACUCUUUAAAUUGAAAUGCUAAGUGUGUUAAAUUGUAUGUUGGGUGUUUAAGUUGGGUGUAGAUGUUUCCACCCUCAUUUCUUCUUAGAGUAAUCUCAUUCGAAGAAGAAUAAUCCCUAGGGAAAGAUAUUGUAACACCUGAUCUUAGAGAGAUCUAAAUUUAGAAAGAGCUAAACCAAAAAUAGCUAAAUUUAGAAUUUUGCAAGUUAGUCUCCAAAUGUGAAUAUUGGGUCAACUUCAAACGAUCAUAACUUUCAGUUCAAAAUGAAUUGGGUGACCCACAAGGUAUCAAAUGAAAGAUCAUUGAGUCAUCUUUCAAACUCCGCCUAGUUUCCUAAAUUCCAAGUUUGGAUGAAAAACCGAUGGUCGUUUGAAUACAUCCUGUCCAUUUAAGUAAAUUCAUUCAUUUUAAGAAGCAGUAUUUUGGUCUUUUCCUUACCCCCACUAGACUAACUCGUUUUUGUUAACCUAUUAGGGUUCAAACUGAUUGGAAUCAAAUUUAGUACUUUCUAAACAUGGUUAAGGUUUUUGAGAGAAGUUCAAGAGGAAAAUGGGAGAAAAGCAUCAAUUCUUCAAAAUUCUUGCGAGCUUUGAGGAUUCUCACCAUGGAUUUGAUUAUUUCAAGGUAUGUAAGCUUUCAUAGUGCUGAGUUUGUUCCCCAUCACACCAAUCACAAGUUCCCUAAUUGAAUUCAUUCAUAAGACUUCAAGUAUUGAGUUUAUUGAUGUUUUGUUCUUCAUUCUUUAACAAUGAAAUUUUGUCAAGUUCUUCAUAUGAGUAUUUUGUGUUUGAAGGUUUUUAUUGAGGAAUUUUCAGUGGAUUCUUUUGCAAUUAUGUUGGGUUUAGGAAUCCAAAAGAGUUCGAGCGAAAUUGUUCGAUUCUAGGUGAAGUAAACAUGGAAUUAGAGAAAAACAUUUGUUAAAUUGAACACUAUGUUCAUCAAACCCAUCAAAGUUGUAAGGGAAUUGGUCAGUCCAAAUGACAUACAUACAAAUCCAUAAUGACCAUACCGAGUUCUGAACGUUCUUUUUGGAAUGUAACUAUCUCUGACUCUGAGCUUGUAACAUUCUAAAAAAUUAGUAAAACUAAGCUAGAGCCUAAUGUGUAAAAUAGUAGCCUAAUUGGGGUUUAAUGAAAAGGUUAGAGUCAUAAAAUAAUCUCCGGUAAUCAAUAUAAGUGUUUUUCGGUGCAAAAGUCAAGGCAUAAUCCCCAAAGACCAACCAUAAGUCCUUGAAGAGGACGUUGAGACAUCCCAAAAAGUUGUCAAGAGAUAGCCUACCCACGAAGGGCAUCCACGAUCCGUGAAUGGACCCACGCCCCGUAGGUGGAGGUCGUGGGUCAAGGAUCGACCUACCCUAUUUUUCUUAGUCCCAUACCAUGGACCUAAGGACUUUCAGGAUGGACAAUAGGUCCACCUAUGGUCCGUAGGUCACUAAACAUAUGUCAUUCCUGAAACUGCCAUUUGCCAGUUAAGGUUGCCGGUUCUUUUGUAAUUUCCUUUUCAAUAAAUUGUUAGGUGGUGUAUUUUUAAUCUUAUUUUAAAUACUGAUAUAAUUAUUUUUCCCACCUAAAAUAACCCAUCUAAAUCAUAAUUCAAAAAUCCCGAAAUCGAAUCAAUACCUCUCCAAUAUUUCUCUCACUAAAACCUCCAUUGAAGAAGAUGAAGAAGAAGUUGAAGUAUAGGGCUCAAAAACUCAUCUUUUACACCCAAAUUCAUGAAGAAUCUUCAUCUAAGGUGUUGGUUCCGGCGUUGGAUUUACUAUUAUCCGAAGCUUGUGGUAUGUCCUGAUGGAUCCGAGUACAAGUGCUAUGUUGUUGUUUCUUUUCUUUUAUUGUACUAAACUUUCAGAUUUCCUAUUGUAAGGGUUGUGACCAUAUUUAUUUCGAGACUUCAAUUGUAAUAGAUGGCUAAAUGAGACUAU